rnacentral:rRNA from 1 species
GACGAACGCUGGCGGCGUGCCUAAUACAUGCAAGUCGAACGCACUCUCGUUUAGAUUGACGGAGUUUGCUCCUGAUUGAUAAACAUUUGAGUGAGUGGCGGACGGGUGAGUAACACGUGGGUAACCUGCCCUAAAGUGGGGGAUAACAUUUGGAAACAGAUGCUAAUACCGCAUAAAACCUAACACCGCAUGGUGUAGGGUUGAAAGAUGGUUUCGGCUAUCACUUUAGGAUGGACCCGCGGUGCAUUAGUUAGUUGGUGAGGUAAAGGCUCACCAAGACCGUGAUGCAUAGCCGACCUGAGAGGGUAAUCGGCCACACUGGGACUGAGACACGGCCCAGACUCCUACGGGAGGCAGCAGCAGGGAAUCUUCCACAAUGGACGAAAGUCUGAUGGAGCAACGCCGCGUGAGUGAAGAAGGUUUUCGGAUCGUAAAACUCUGUUGUUGGAGAAGAAUGUAUCUGAUAGUAACUGAUCAGGUAGUGACGGUAUCCAACCAGAAAGCCACGGCUAACUACGUG